CGGGGGGAGGGAGGCCACAGGCAGAGCGGUGGGUGCUUGCUCUGGAGGGGUGCAGACGCAAGAAGAGGGCUGUGUCGCUGUCCCAGCAAACAAGAAAUACUACAGUCUUGGUGGAUUUGUUGCCUCCUUCCUGCCUGUGUUUCUUUGUGAGUUGGCCACCACUGCGACUUUCUGGCAGACAAGCAGAGUUCCAGAUAGAGGCUGAUACAUUACACUGGGUCCUGAAAUGAAGAGGAUAUGAAGCAGAGC